CGAAGGGGAGCAGGUCGAGCAGGAGCGGCAGCAGUGGAAGGAGCAUUGCGGGGUUCCACGGCGAGCCCGCAGCUCGGCUGGGCCCGGCAGCAUCGCAUUGCCCCGCAUCCCGCAGCAAGCAAGCAAGCAGCGCUGGGUGGCCGGGGAGUCGCUGCUCCACUCAUGGCACACACCACUUACGAGUUUGGACUUCUUGGCCACACUGCCGGACCCCAACACCCUGGUCCUGAUGCAGAAUGAACUCCAGCCUCUGGCUGCAUCCAGCCAGACUUCAUCCUGUGUGGCCAGCUCAGCCCCACCAACUGCCCUGGCAACACCCUCUUCCAGGAGAUCCAGAGCUGGCCCAGCUUCUAGGGGACACUGGUGUCCACAGGGCUUGGGGUGGGUGUCCCAUUGGGGUUGGUGGGAGGAGGUUUGGGGUGAUGAUGCUGGGACUGACUGAACCCUGUGUUGUCCUCCAUGGUCAUGUCCCAUGCCGUGUCCCGUGCCCUGUGUCCCAUGCCAUGCUCCACGGUCAUUCCCAUGUCCCUGUGCUCUCCAGCCAUGUUCCAUGUCCUGUGUCCUGUGCCGUGCUCCAGGGUCAUGUUCCAACCCACAGCAUACCCUGUGCCAUGUGUCCUGUGCUGUGUCCCACGCUAUACUUCACACCAUGCCCCAUGCCAUGCCCCAGGCCCCACACUAAGCUGUGCAUGGCUGCCUCUUUCUGUCACUCCUACCAUCUCCAUCACUGUCCCCAUCACUGCUCCCUUCUUGCUGCUGCACCAGCUGAUCCCUGGGUUAAAGGGAUCAGCUUCCUCCAGGAUCGGUGUGGCUUUGCCUGGCCCAGGGUCCUGCUGCUGGCUGUCCUGUGCCCCCCAGGAUGGGGGAUGACACUGGCACACAUCUGCACACACCUGGUAUUGGGGCUGGCAGCAGGGCUGGCACCCAUCUGGGACUGGGGAGUGGGGCUGGACACUGAAGCUGGGCAGUGGGACUGGCCACCAGUACUGGGCAUUGACACUGGGCACUGGACAGUUGGACUGGACAGCAGGGAUGGCCACUGAGGCUGGACACUGGCACUGGGCAUUAGCACUGGGCACUGAACCAGGAGCAGGAUAAACCCCUCUGUCCCUUCUCCUUUGCCCCCCUGAGCUCCCCUUUGCCUACCCAAAGCUUGGCUGCACCAGAUACCAGCAGGAUUUGGCACCUUUGGGGGAUGUUUCCCAGGGAAAGAGGGGUGGUCUGGGCGUACUGUGUGUGCUGACUCUGGUCCCUCCCAGACCGAGAUGGGAGGACCUCCUGGGGGGCUGCGAGAAGCCCUAAAAAGAGACUGCCCCCUAACCUCCCAGUUCAUCAAUCUCAAGGUGGGCACCCCCUGCCCCUGAUCCCACCCCCUCCAAGGGCCUCGGGGGUGACACAAGCUGUCUGUGUUCCCUCCUCCAGGGGCUGUUGUGGAAGAGGCUCCUCCGGGAAAGGAAAAGUCGCAGUAGCACCAAAGUUCACAGAAUCAUAGAACUAACUGGGUUGGAAAAGAUGAAAAGACCUUUGGGAUCAUCAAGUCCAACCUGUAACCCAACACCACCUUAUCAACUAAACCCUGGCACUGAGUGCCACAUCCAGUCUUUUUUUAUACACCUCCAGGUGCGGUGACUCUACCACCCCCCUGGGUACCCUUGCCAAUGCCCAAUCACUCAGUAAAGAAUUUUUUCCUAAUGUCCAGCUUAAACUUCCCCUGGCACAGCUUAAGACUGUGUCCUCUCCUUCUGUCAGUGUUUGCCUGGGAGAAGACACCAGCCCCCAGCUGAUUACAACCACCUUCC